rnacentral:misc_RNA from 1 species
GAUGAAGAACGCAGCGAAAUGCGAUAAGUAGUGUGAAUUGCAGAAUUCAGUGAAUCAUCGAAUCUUUGAACGCACAUUGCGCCCCUUGGUAUCCCGAGGGGCAUGCCUGUUCGAGCGUCAUUUCACCACUCAAGCCUGGCUUGGUGUUGGGCGACGUCCCCUUUAGGGACGCGCCUCGAAACGCUCGGCGGCGCGGCACCGGCUUUAAGCGUAGCAGAAUCUUUCGCUUUGGAAGUCGGGGCCCCGCCUGCCGGAAUACCGACUUGUAAGGUUGACCUCGGAUCAGGCAGGGAUACCCGCUGAACUUAAGCAUAUCAAUAAGCGGAGGA